rnacentral:tRNA from 1 species
CAAAUUAGAGCUUGAGAUAAGUAUUUUAUUUACAUUAAAAAGUUGAUUGUUAAAUUCAAUUUAAUUUGA